GUUUUUAAUACAGUUGAAACUAUAAAAGCAUAACCAAAUACUUGCUGAUUGAUGCACAAAAUAUAUUUACAACUGCAAUUUGAGUCUAAUGCAUUGAAGUUAUCCAAUCUUGUGUUUCCGAAAAACAAAAAGAAAAAAAUGAGAAUUCUUCUGACGUUAUAAGCAGUUACAGGUUCUUCUAACAUUGUUUAGGUAUACUUUCUAUAUAACAAAUGUCCAUCAAUAUUAAAGAUAAUUAUUUCUUAUCCAAUUGAAAGUCAUAUCAAUACACACUUGAACAAAGGAGGUAUAAUCAGAAUCAUUAUUACGGCCAUAUAAUUACCCAUUUUCC
rnacentral:lncRNA from 1 species